UUAGGGUGCCAUCCAAGAAGAAAAUAACAUCAUCUGCGAACAUAAGGAUAAACAAAUAAGGCGACAGGGGAUCUCCUUGCCUUAGGCCUCUGGAUGGACUGAAAAACGAGGAUUUUUAACUUUGGGAAUCAAGACAAUAUGGGUUUGAUUUAACUUCGGAUCCAAGACUCCUGUGUUGAAGAAAGUCUGUACCAUUUGGAACAGGGUGAAGGCUGAGAACCAGAGGACUGUGGUCCGAUCCGAUUGCUGGGAGUGCAUGAACUUCUGCAUCGUGGUAUAUUACGCGCCAUUCCAAGGCUUCCCGACACAUUUCUGGCCCUUUCUCUCUUAUGAUUAGAGCUUGUUCUAUGCUUGGAGACGUUGCUACCGG